GAUGAACGCUGGCGGCGUGCCUAAUACAUGCAAGUCGAGCGAACGGACGAGAAGCUUGCUUCUCUGAUGUUAGCGGCGGACGGGUGAGUAACACGUGGAUAACCUACCUAUAAGACUGGGAUAACUUCGGGAAACCGGAGCUAAUACCGGAUGAUAUUUUGAACCGCAUGGUUCAAAAGUGAAAGACGGUCUUGCUGUCACUUAUAGAUGGAUCCGCGCUGCAUUAGCUAGUUGGUAAGGUAACGGCUUACCAAGGCAACGAUGCAUAGCCGACCUGAGAGGGAGGGCAGCCAACAGGGAGGUAGAACGCGGCCCUGCCGACGGCGGGAGGCAGCAGUGGGUAAUGAUAGGCAAGGGGCAAAAGCUUGAAAGAGGAUUGUCGAAGGAGAGUGGAUAUUGUUCGGAUCCUAAACAACUCUUACAAGGAAAGAACAUAAGGGCAAGGAACAGAGCACAUCUGGACGGUACCUGAGGAGAAAGCCAAGACUAACUACUUG
rnacentral:rRNA from 1 species